rnacentral:lncRNA from 1 species
CACCCAGUCAGUCACACAGUCGGACCGCCGAGCGCAAACACUCACAGUCGCUCAGGAACUAUUUGUUGGAGCAGGGAGGGCGCGCAGCACUUCUUCAUUCCAUCCAGAGCCAGUGGAAGGAAUAUUCACCUGUACGUCUGAAGGGAAGCGAUCACAAGGAUUUUCAUUAAUUUUGAUCAGAGUCCGUCUUAAAGGCGCAGCUAAGGGACACUUGAGACCACAAUCACCUUUCGGACAGCUGGUUUGUCCUGUAGCCAAACAAGUUUUUUUUUGCGUUGAAUGAGUGUGGUUUUACGCACAAACUGACUCGUAACUGAAGGUGUUGUUCCAGCUGUUUUUAAUUUAUUUCGGGAAGACGGCGUGACUGGUUUCACUGAACCAUGGCGAAACAUGACGCCCGAAAUGGGUUUGACUACACAGAAAUGAUCGGACUGCUCUGCUUGGUGGCGUCGGUACUUCUACACGGAGCAUCAGGUCAGCGGGUCAAGGUGGAGCCAGAGGUGUCGUCGUAUCCUGGCCAGACAGUCAGCCUGCGUUGUGCCUUCACCGAUGCCACUGGGAUCCAGCUCACAAUGGUCACGUGGAUCUACGAGCCUAAGGAGGGAGAAAGAAACCAAUAUAGCCGUGUUUCACCCAAACUUUGAUCCAACUACCCAGACUCACCUCAGAGGGGCCGUGUCAGCUUCUCACCCAGUCCCCCAACAUUGCCAGUCCUUCAAUCCAGAUAACGGAUGUUAGAAUGACCGUACGAUGGGACUAUACAAUCUGCGAGGUAUGCUACCUACCCAGGUGGCAAUGAACAGGCAUCACUAAUUUGGUUAUGCUGGGUAGGUCACAACCUUCAUCUCAU